UUCUCCUCUCUUCGCCUUUUCCUUCUUUCCUCAUUUUCGUUCCUCAAUUCAUUUCAACGUUCCCUAAUUUCGCAUCAACACCAUGCAUCUCUAAUUUCUCGACACUUCCACAUCACGUAUUUCUAAUUUCUCGGCACUCCUCUCUCUGAACACUCCGAGAACACUCCCUCCGUGGUUGUGGUUUAGGCUAUAGAGAGAAGAAGAGCUANGUUAGGGGAAGAUGUGUUCGUCGAUAUCUCCGCGCGAAUUGAAAGCACUGUGGUUGUGCUUCAUUUUAUCUUCUUCUGCAUUGGAAGGAACCCUAAUCCAUCCCUUAUCGAUCGGAAUCAAUGGAGCGAAUACUGUCCGCGAACGAGCAGCAGAGCAUGGUGUCUUCGUUCCUUGAGGUGGCUCAGGGCUAGAUUGCCGAGACUGCGCGCCAGUUCCUCCAGGGUUGUUGCUGUGAUUGAUGUUGUAACAGGCUACCAGUUGGAAGCUUAAGGAGGCUCUUCAGUUGUUUUUGAUAGGUAGUGAAAGUGAGGCAGUGNNGCCUCCAACUUUGCACACUCCGCCUUUGNAAAAUGUUGAUUCCUGGACUGACCAACCUCCCAGUGAACCUAUGAAGGACNCAUCGGGGAGUGAAAGUGUUGGACUUAAUGAGGCAGAAGAAGUGCGCCCUCCCUUACCUGUAAUUAGGGAAACUCUCUAUGAUGAUGCAAUGNUGUAUGGAGCACCAAGGGUUGGGCAUCGUUCACAAGAACCAAGCACCCUAGUUGCAUUUCGUAACUUUGAAGAAGAAAUGAGAAAUCCAGGGGUUUGGGAGCCAGAGUAAGGUGCUGCUUCUACAGCAGAGAAAUCCAGCUAAGUUUGAUGGUAUACUAGGACUUGGAUUUCAAGAGAUCUUAGUGGGAAAUGCUGUUCCAGUGUGGUACAAUAUGGUUGAACAAGGUCUUGUAAAGGAUCCAGUAUUUUCAUUUUGGUUAAAUCGUAAACCAGAAGAAGAGAAUGGGGGUGAGAUUGUUUUUGGUGGUGCUGAUUCUG